AUUGAACGCUGGCGGCAGGCCUAACACAUGCAAGUCGAGCGGAUGAAGGGAGCUUGCUCCUGGAUUCAGCGGCGGACGGGUGAGUAAUGCCUAGGAAUCUGCCUGGUAGUGGGGGAUAACGUCCGGAAACGGGCGCUAAUACCGCAUACGUCCUGAGGGAGAAAGUGGGGGAUCUUCGGACCUCACGCUAUCAGAUGAGCCUAGGUCGGAUUAGCUAGUUGGUGGGGUAAAGGCCUACCAAGGCGACGAUCCGUAACUGGUCUGAGAGGAUGAUCAGUCACACUGGAACUGAGACACGGUCCAGACUCCUACGGGGGGCAGCAGUGGGAAAUAUUGGACAAUGGGCGAAAGCCUGAUCCAGCCAUGCCGCGUGUGUGAAGAAGGUCUUCGGAUUGUAAAGCACUUUAAGUUGGGAGAAAGGGCAGUAAGUUAAUACCUUGCUGUUUGGACGUUACCAACAGAAUAAGCACCGGCUAACUUCGU
rnacentral:rRNA from 1 species